rnacentral:rRNA from 1 species
ACAGGUGCUGCAUGGCUGUCGUCAGCUCGUGUCGUGAGAUGUUGGGUUAAGUUCCCGGCAACCGAGCGCAACCCCUGCCUGCCAGUUUGCCAACGGGUGAAGCCGGGCACUCUGGCGGGACGUGCCAUCGACAAGAUGGAGGAAGUGGGGGAUGACGUCAAGUCAUCAUGGCCCUUAUGGUCCAGGGCGACACACGUGCUACAAUGGCCGGCACAGCGGGAAGCGAGGCAGUGAUGCCAAGCGGAUCCCUUAAAGCCGGUCUCAGUUCGGAUUGAAGUCUGCAACUCGACUUCAUGAAGCUGGAAUCGCUAGUAAUCGCAGAUCAGCCAAGCUGCGGUGAAUACGUUCCCGGGCCUU